rnacentral:rRNA from 1 species
GAUGAACGCUGGCGGCGUGCCUAAUACAUGCAAGUCGAGCGAACAGACGAGGAGCUUGCUCCUCUGACGUUAGCGGCGGACGGGUGAGUAACACGUGGAUAACCUACCUAUAAGACUGGGAUAACUUCGGGAAACCGGAGCUAAUACCGGAUAAUAUAUUGAACCGCAUGGUUCAAUAGUGAAAGACGGUUUCGCUGUCACUUAUAGUUGGAUCCGCGCCGCAUUAGCUAGUUGGUAAGGUAACGGCUUACCAAGGCGACGAUGCGUAGCCGACCUGAGAGGGUGAUCGGCCACACUGGAACUGAGACACGGUCCAGACUCCUACGGGAGGCAGCAGUAGGGAAUCUUCCGCAAUGGGCGAAAGCCUGACGGAGCAACGCCGCGUGAGUGAUGAAGGUCUUCGGAUCGUAAAACUCUGUUAUUAGGGAAGAACAAAUGUGUAAGUAACUAUGCACGUCUUGACGGUACCUAAUCAGAAAGCCACGGCUAACUACGUG